rnacentral:rRNA from 1 species
UACGAAGGGUGCAAACGUUGCUCGGAAUUAUUGGGCGUAAAGCGCACGUAGGCGGCUUAGCAAGUCGGAUGUGAAAUCCCUCGGCUCAACCAAGGAAGUGCAUCCGAAACUGCUGAGCUUGAGUACGAAAGAGGAUCGCGGAAUUCCCGGUGUAGAGGUGAAAUUCGUAGAUAUCGGGAGGAACACCAGUGGCGAAGGCGGCGAUCUGGGUCGAUACUGACACUGAGGCACGAAAGCGUGGGGAGCAAACAGG